ACGAACGCUGGCGGCGUGCUUAACACAUGCAAGUCGAACGGAAAGGCCCUGCUUUUGUGGGGUGCUCGCGUGGCGAACGGGUGAGUAACACGUGAGUAACCUGCCCUUGACUUUGGGAUAACUUCAGGAAACUGGGGCUAAUACCGGAUAGGAGCUCCUGCUGCAUGGUGGGGGUUGGAAAGUUUCGGCGGUUGGGGAUGGACUCGCGGCUUAUCAGCUUGUUGGUGGGGUAGUGGCUUACCAAGGCUUUGACGGGUAGCCGGCCUGAGAGGGUGACCGGCCACAUUGGGACUGAGAUACGGCCCAGACUCCUACGGGAGGCAGCAGUGGGGAAUAUUGCACAAUGGGCGGAAGCCUGAUGCAGCAACGCCGCGGGCGGGAUGACGGCCUUCGGGUUGUAAACCGCUUUCGCCUGUGACGAAGCGUGAGUGACGGUAAUGGGUAAAGAAGCACCGGCUAACUACGUG
rnacentral:rRNA from 1 species